AGCCACAGCAAUGUGGGAUCCAAGCCCCAUCUGCGACCUACACCACAGCUCACAGAAACCCCAGAUCUUUAACCCACUGAGCGAGGCCAGGGAUCGAACCUGCAUCCUGGUGGAUACUAGUUGGAUUCAGUUCCACUGUGCCACAGCAGGAAUUCCUGACCAGGCAUUCUUGUUAUCCAUCAGGCCAGCCUGGACUAAUUCACAUGGUGGGGGGCUCAGGAUUCCCAGGGGUAGCAAAAGGACAUGUCCUGUUGUGCAAGUUCAUGACUGCACUUCUGUCAUGUCUGCUACCAUCCCAUCAGCCAAAGAAAGCCUGGAGUUGUUGUGGAACAGCAAUACGACAGGUCUCAGAUGAAGAAAGAAUUAUGGUUCAUCGUUAUCAUCUAUCCCAGACCAAAAUCAGUCCUCCAAGUAAGCAUUUUAGGAGUCCUCUUGUGGCACAGUGGGUUAAGGAUCUGGCACUGUCACUGCUGUGACUCUGGUUACUGCUGUGGUGCAGAUUCAGUCCCUGGUCUGGGAACUUCCACAUGCUGCCAGCUUUGGUCAUAAAUAAAUAAAUAAACAAUUUUUAAAAAACAUUUUAAAGGCAGCAGUGAAGGAUAGGUGACUAUCAGAGUCUGAAUUUGUGUGUAUGUCUUGUCACAUUAGUUAGAAAUUUUUGUACUUUAUUCCGUAUAGGGGCGUGGGGGUAGGUGAGAGCGAGAUGAAGAGAAGAAGGAAAUGGAAAAGCAACAGGAAGCCAGGAUGGCCAAGCUGGAAAUAAAGAUCAUUCAAUCAAACACCUUGGUAGCCCCCUGCCCCACCUGGGCAAAAGGAAGAGAGGAGGGCCUCCGGCUGGAACUGCCCACCUCUACUACAGGCCAGGUCCCUCCUGUGAUGUCAUGGAGAUCAGGGUGCCAGCCUUGUCACAGAGAGUUAUAUGUAUUCUCUGUGUCUCUUCAUGCUGCAACUAUGUGUUAGAACAGUCUCCAGGAUAGCACUGGCUGGAAUGCAGCAUAGCAUGCUGGUGCUGUUACUUUUUCUCCCAUUACCAUCGAUGCUCCCAGACGCUCAUAGCCUAUUGCAUUUCAAUCUUCUCAUCAGCUUAAUGAGGGCAUUAGAGUUAGUGAUUCUAAAGAUAUCUUCCAGCUGUGAUACUGUACAGUCUUACAAGACUGUCCUAUUUCUGUCUUCCCUUUUAAUAUUUACACAUCUUUUGUCUGGACUCUAUAGCUCCCAGCUUGUUGCUUUGAUGAUAUCCACCAAUGGGUGGAAUUGAAUAAUGAUGACAAAAAAAAAGAGCAAUCUGUAGAGUCCAUUUCUGUACCAUGAAGCUCUUCGUGGUCCCUUACAUCCUAUCACAAAGGAGCCAUAGUUCUCACUGUGGUACAAUGGGUUAAGAAUCCAACUGCAGCAGCUUGGGUCACUGCAAAGUCAUGAAUUCCAUCCCCGGCCCGGCACAGUGGGCUAAAUUAAAUGAUCUGGCAUUGCUGCAGCUGUGGUGUAGAUCACAGCUGCAGCUCAGAUUCAGUCCCUGGCCUGGAAACUUCCAUAUGCCAUGGGUGUGGCCGUAGAAAAAAAGGGAGGGGGUUGUCCCACCUUAACUCUUAAAGCAAAGGCAAGCUUCCCUUUCUAUUUAUACCUGUUGUAUAAAAGAGACAUUUGUUAGAUUUGGAAUAGGAAGAAUGGCAUUAGCUGUGGGAUAUUGGACAUUUAUUUACCCUCUCUGAACCUCAAUUUUCUCAUCAGUUCAACAGUAGCUACUUAAGUAUUACUCUUACUUAAGAAGUAAAUGGCAUAUGAUUCUAUGAAUGUCAAGGUCAGGACCUAUCUCUUUUUGUAUGAUCUCACAUAAUAUUGUUCCUCUCCUCCCUUUGCUCUUUGCAGAGCUGAUCAAAUGGAAUCGUGUGUGCUAGGUGCAGUGCUUUGUAGCUCUGCAGUAUAAUGCAAAUAGUAGAUUAUGAUUCCUGGCACCAGUAUGGACUGGAGCUGGGAAGUUCCAGAAGGUUUUCAUUGCACAGAGGUUCUCCGCUGUGUUAGAAACAGCACUGGGGUUGGACCCAUUGUCUCCAGACUAUAGUUUGGACCAUUGCUAUUUUUUGCUCACUUGUCCACCCACUGCCCUGAAGAGGUCAGCACAUAAGUGGGGCUAUACAUAUCACCUUAGGUUCUGGAGCUUUAGGUAAUGUAAUAAAAACAUAAUCAUAUACCCUCAAUUUGAGCCCUAUAGGGAUGCAUGCAUUUAGAUAAAAUAUUGCAAUGCAAUGCUAAUUAGCAUACCACUGAAGUUCCUGGCCUUGGCCCUUGUAUAAUCUUGUGCUGACCUUCCCUCUUGAUUUUAUUUUUCAUCUCUUGAAACAGAGAGCAAAUUUUCAUUUGCAAAAAACUCUUAGAUAUCUCUGAAAGGCAUUUGGUGACCACAUAGUGUUGUUUAUUUCCUUUAGUAAGUUGACCCCUCUCCCCCCUGUGAAAGGUUUCUUUUUGAAAUGCUGCAUGGAAACACACCAUAAUCAUUUCUUUUUGCCUUCUCAAGAGAGCCAUAAAAUGUAAUUGGCUGUUUGCUGAAAUGCUUGGGCUCCAUUGAUCCCAGGGGAUUUGGGAUCCCUAGGAUGACCAGAGAUAGUUGUACACAGGAUAUAUUCAGAAAUGUUUCUGGGUGCUCACUCAGGAUCUGUGUUGUUAAGAUAGUGCAUUGUCAAGGCCCAGGCCAGAGUUAUGAACUCAUUGGAAAUUCAAAGACCAAGUCCAUUGAACUGUUACAUGCAAGUCUGUGAAAUGCUUCGCUUCUGGAGGUGAAGUCAUUGGAGCUCAUAAAAAGGGCAGCUUCUGAAUCUAUGGCAAUCAAGCCUAUGUGAUCUUCUAAAUCAGUCUAUAGUAAUAUGAAGGAUGAGAGAAAGAGAUGGGAAUGAGCAUCUUACAAGAGGUUUUAAUCUGAAAUACACAUUAUCUUUUUAAAAAUGUUUUUGGCUGAGGCAUGGAGUGGCUUGAUGUGGGGGGUCUCAGCUCCCAGACCACAGACUGAACCUAGGUUAUGGGAGUGAAGGCACCAAAUAUAACCAUUGGACCACCAAGUAACUCCCCUGAAAUAUACAACUAAUCUUUAAGCAAGAGAACUUGAGAGUAAAGGCUCUAAGCACUGAUUAGAGUAGUGGAGAGUUGUUUUAAGAUGCUGUUUUCUAAAAAGGGUACAUCGGUGUCUGUAGGCAUAAAGAAUCAAAUGGCAAGUAAUUGAGAUAGACUUGGCCUGUGAGACCUACAUGCAAACAAAGGGAGUAACCUCACAAAUGCAACCCCAGAGAUAGAACUCCCAAGUGUUUUAGGUUGAAUUAUCAAUGAGUCUAGUUUGAUAGGCUAGGAAAGUACCCACAUGAUGGCAUUGCUUCAAUGGAAAGAUAUCUGAUGAGGUACAGCAGAUGAUGACAGGUUGUGUAAGCCUUUCCUUGACCUCUACUGAAGCUGGGGGUAGCUGGGAAGUGUGUCCUUCUAGAGACAGAAGGAUAGCUAGUCAUACAUCAGAAUGAUAUUUCUCCAGCCCCUGCGUAUGCUGAACAUCCAGUGGGAAGAAGGAAUAGAAGAGGAGAGGGGAAGGGGAGGAGAAGGAAAGUAAGGAGUAAGAAAGAGAAGGGGAAAAGAGGGAGAAGGGAAAGGAAAUGGGGCUGGCCAUGAAUAAUUAUUGAGGGGUGAAUUCUAGGCUUUAUGCCAGGUAUAUGCACUUGCGUUAUCUCAGUUUCCUUGAUGGUGGAACAAUUAGUGUAAAUGGAUUAAUCUUUCUUAUUCAUGGCAACACAAGUGGAAGGGAUUCUGCCUUCCUGCUUCAACAGCCAUUAUAGCAAGGGGCAUAGUAAAUUUGGUGGGACAACCCAAGUUUAUAUUGAGUGGGUUUAAUGUCUUAAUAAAGAAAUUUGUUUUUUAGAAGACGAGAAUGGAAAUUUAACAACUGAAUGAAAAUAAGAAGCUAUCUUCAUGGGGAGUUAAGGAGGCCUAAUUCUAAACAGUACAAUACUGCCAGGCCUUACUCUACUUCAAAGAUAAAGUGGCCCCAACUUCAUCAAGUUGCUCAGUCCUAAAGUGGACAGUCAAGGAAUGAAAUUAACAAUUGCUAAAGUGUUGGGAGUUCACUGGUGGCCUAGUGGUUAAGUAUCUGGUGUUGUCACUGCUGUGGGCUCUCAGCACUGUUGUAAAACCAUCAAUACCUUCCUUUCCAUCAUCUCUGAUCUUCAAUCACCUUCUCAUUAUUUCUGAGAAUCCUUCAAAAUCCUCACAAAAGCAGACAAGGAUUCAGCCCUGCCUCCUGAAAGAUAUUGUUUUUCUCUGGCUCCUUAAGAUGUCAGCCCAAUGGUUUUAGCUUUUCAAGCUCCCCAGUCUCCACCCCAUUCCAUCUAGAAUUUUGUUUAUCAGUUAAAAUUCUUCUGGUUGCCAGUAAUAGAAUCACUUUCCAAUGACUUGGAAAAUGAUUGUUUGUUAUCUCACACAGCAACAGGUCUAGAGGUAGAUUCCCCAGGCUAGACUCUGGGGCAUAGCAGUUAUCAUCAGAGACCCAGUCUCCUUCCAUUUCUCAGCCCUCUUACCUUACUUAGGCUUCAUGCUUGCUCAUUGCAGGAUUCAGGAUGGCUGUCCAUGGGCCAAAAUAGAAGGACAUUUCCUUCUGCAUAUCACUUAGAUUUUCUAGGAAUAAAAUAUCCAUUAGAAGUUCUCCUGCAGACAUCUUACUCACUGGUCCACCAUGACCUGGCUUCAAGGAAGCUGGCAAAACCAGCCUAUAAUUUUUGUAGCCUUUAUCAUAGUGACAGACUCUGUCAUCAUGGACAAAUAAGGUGGAGAAUGACUGUUGAACAGAUUGCCAACAGCAUCUACCACACUGGUAUCUCUCUUGUUACAGUUUUCAUUCUCAGACUGGUGUCCUACUCAAAAUGUCCAUUCCUACAUGGCAGUCAUCUAGUGCCUCAAGAUCAAGCCCAGGUGUCUCAACUCUCUUGCCUCAGAGUGCUUUAGAGUUUCUUCUAGGGCAUUCAUGGAGAGAUUGAUAGGUACUUUUACUUGGUCUUUGUACAAGAGAUAUAGUCUAAGGAUCCAGUCAUCAGCCCUGACCAAGACCUUUAUUUUGCUCCAGUGGACCUGGUAGGUAAUCAUACAAAUAGAUAAAAGUCAGAAAAUCCAGGCAAGACUCCCAGUGGGGAAUGCAAAUUAGGGACUUCUCAGGGAAGUUUAUGACACACUCAAACUCUGAUGUGGAGUUAAAUGGUCUUCUGAUGAGAAAGGUUGAGAGGUGGAGGGAUGCACUGAGGGCUUGGGAUGGAAAUGCUGUAAAAUUUGUUUGUGAUGAUUAUUGUACACCUAUAAAUGUAAUAAGAUUCAUUAAGUAAU
rnacentral:lncRNA from 1 species